AUUGAACGCUGGCGGCAGGCCUAACACAUGCAAGUCGAGCGGAUGACGGGAGCUUGCUCCUUGAUUCAGCGGCGGACGGGUGAGUAAUGCCUAGGAAUCUGCCUGGUAGUGGGGGACAACGUUUCGAAAGGAACGCUAAUACCGCAUACGUCCUACGGGAGAAAGCAGGGGACCUUCGGGCCCUGCGCUAUCAGAUGAGCCUAGGUCGGAUUAGCUAGGUGGUGGGGUAAUGGCUCACAAAGGCGACGAUCCGUAACUGGUCUGAGAGGAAGAUCAGUCACACUGGAACUGAGACACGGUCCAGACUCCUACGGGAGGCAGCAGUGGAGAAUAUUGGACAAUGGGCGAAAGCCUGAUCCAGCCAUGCCGCGUGUGUGAAGAAGGUCUUCGGAUUGUAAAGCACUUUAAUUUGGGAGGAAGGGCAGUAAGUUAAUACCUUGCUGUUUUGACGUUACCGACAGAAUAAGCACCAGCUAACUCUGUGCCAGCAGCCGCCGUAAUAC
rnacentral:rRNA from 1 species